UACGUAGGGUGCAAGCGUUAUCCGGAAUUAUUGGGCGUAAAGAGCUUGUAGGCGGUUUGUCGCGUCUGCCGUGAAAGCCCAGGGCUUAACCCUGGGUCUGCGGUGGGUACGGGCAGACUAGAGUGUGGUAGGGGAGACUGGAAUUCCUGGUGUAGCGGUGGAAUGCGCAGAUAUCAGGAGGAACACCGAUGGCGAAGGCAGAUCUCUGGGCCGUAACUGACGCUGAGGAGCGAAAGCGUGGGGAGCGAACAGG
rnacentral:rRNA from 1 species